GACGCUCUACGGAGCCUCAAAAGGUCCCUUUUAUUAGUAUAUAGAUUGACAUUAUGGAGAUAAACCGUCUUUUCUUAAGUGAAAAAUGGUAAUCUACAUAUGUUUAAUGUAGUUUUUCCAUUUUUUAUGUUGUAUAUUUACAUAUUAUUUAUAAUUUUCAAAAAUUAGUAAUAUUAAAAUGUAAAAUUAUAUUUUAUGCCACGUGUCAUCUUUCUGGAGAAGUUUUUGCUGAUGUGGACGCUCU
rnacentral:lncRNA from 1 species